rnacentral:rRNA from 1 species
AUUGAACGCUGGCGGCAUGCCUUACACAUGCAAGUCGAACGGUAACAGGUCUUCGGAUGCUGACGAGUGGCGAACGGGUGAGUAAUACAUCGGAACGUGCCCGAUCGUGGGGGAUAACGAGGCGAAAGCUUUGCUAAUACCGCAUACGAUCUACGGAUGAAAGCGGGGGAUCUUCGGACCUCGCGCGGACGGAGCGGCCGAUGGCAGAUUAGGUAGUUGGUGGGAGAAAAGCUUACCAAGCCGACGAUCUGUAGCUGGUCUGAGAGGAUGAUCAGCCACACUGGGACUGAGACACGGCCCAGACUCCUACGGGAGGCAGCAGUGGGGAAUUUUGGACAAUGGGCGAAAGCCUGAUCCGGCCAUGCCGCGUGCAGGAUGAAGGCCUUCGGGUUGUAAACUGCUUUUGUACGGAACGAAAAGCCUCUUUCUAAUAAAGAGGGGUCAUGACGGUACCGUAAGAAUAAGCACCGGCUAACUACGUG